GCAAAUUUUAUGAAAUUUGGUAGGUUAGUCACUUCACAUUUUUUACUUGGUGUGCUUUCUGUUACUCUCUUUUGUAAUUUAGAUGUCUUUUUAUUAUUGCCACUGAGAGGAAUUUCUGUAUUCUCUUCGACUUAUUUGGGUCGACUUCUUGUCAUAUGCUUUUGUAUCUCUUUUCUCUUGUCAUUCUCGACCAAAUAUAAUACGACCAUCCCGG
rnacentral:misc_RNA from 1 species